rnacentral:lncRNA from 1 species
UAAACUUUGUAACAGCUUUUGUUCCUUCAGAGACAGCAUGUUUAGCCAAUUCACCAGGCAACACAAGCCUCACAGCUGUUUGAAUCUCCCUUGAAGUUAUUGUAGGUUUCUUGUUGUAACGAGCCAAUCUUGAAGAUUCCUGUGCUAGCUUCUCGAAUAUAUCAUUUAUGAAACUAUUCAUUAUUCCCAUUGCCUUAGAGCUUAUACCAAUGUCUGGGUGAACCUGCUUCAACACCUUGAAUAUGUAGAUCUUGUAUGUUUCUACGCUCUUCUUGCUCUUCUUCUUCUUCUUGUCAACGGCGGCGCCACCUUCCUUUGGGAGCUUCUUCCCAGCCUUUGGUUUCUUCUCCGCCGGUGAUGAUUUCUCAGCAACGGUGGAUUUCUUUUCCUCCACGGGCUUCUUCUCCGCUGGCUUCUUCUCUGCCUUUGGUGCCAUUACGAAAUUAGAGAAUUUGAGGUUAAUGAAAUAAUAGGGUUUUGUUUCAGAUUUGGGAUUGGAAUAGCGAAAGAGCUGUGUGAUAGAUACUAGCUUGGAAGCGUUGAUAUAUAAGAGGCGUUUCGCGUUCUUAUUGGUUGAUGAGGUAUCCCUCGGAUCGAUGACGUGGAUCUUAUUUAUCCGUAAAAAUGGAAGGAGCGUAUAAUUGUACAAGAAAAAUAAGAGCAGAUCGCGUAAGAUACACGCAUAAGCAAAUCUCAAUUUCACUCUAAUUCUCUUUUCGGAUAAAUAUAAAAAUAAGUAAUUUAUUUAUUACCAAAAGAGUCACUUAUAUAUGUUUUUAGAGCUUACACUAGCAGGCUAUGUGAAUAUUCAUUGGGUGUCAACCUAUGUUAUUGAAUAUCCUAAAAUAAAAAAAAUAUUAAAAAUAAUUGUAAGUAAUUUAUAAAUUUAUGUGUUUAUUUUUUAUAAUGUUAAAUAUUAUUCAGGUAAUCAAAAAAUAAAAAACAUAAACUAAUUUUUAAACACUAGAAUUGACUAUUAAAACAACUUAUUUUAUUCAAAGAAACAUAAAAAACAAAUUUAUCAUUUCAACAAUAUGAUGGAAAAUUUAUUUGCUACAAAUUGAUCAAUCAACAUAAUAUUCAUAUGAAUUAACAAUAUAUCAUCAAUGUUUAGCAGGGAUGGCAACGAGAUCGGGCAGGCGUGGGUAGUGCAUUCUCGUUCCUACCCCACAAUAUUUGCAGCUACACAUGCGGGUAGCUUGUAUUUGUGUAUACCUAACAAAUUUUAAUUUUAAUUAUAUGUUUAUAUACACCGUAAUAAUUAAUAUCAAAAAAUAAUUAUUACAUAAAUAAUAUGAUAAAUUUAUCAACUUAGUCAAAUAAGUGUAAUUUAUUAUGAAAUAUAAUAAAGUAUAUGAUAUAUAAUCCUAAAAUAAUAAUAAUAAAAAACUAUAAUAUAUAUAUAAAAAAUUAAUUUAUAAAUUUGCGGGUACACACAGACGGUAUCAUAAAAUCUGCUCACACUUAUAAGCUAUUAUCGUGGGUACCCAUGAGUUGAUUUUUUUUUUUGCCAUCCUAAUGUUUAGCAGUGUAAGUUCGCAUUUUAACAAUAUAAGACCACCUUUUUAAUAACAUAACAUCAAUAUUUAUCAAUAUAAUUAUCACAUCAUACAUUAACAUCAUAGUAGGACUGUGUAUUAAUAAUGUAACAUUAGAGCUAUGAGUAAUAUAAUAUUUAUAUAUAUUGGAAGAAAUGGGAGGUUUGGGUACCCGUAGGUAAUGAUAUCUCAUUAACUAGACUCAGACUUGUUCAAUAACGAGUCUUAAAAUCUUGAGUCUCAAUUACUAGCGGGUCCAAAAACACAGACUCGCACCCAAUCACUAUGAGUAUUUCACACAUACUUGUUGGUAUGGGUACUCAUACUCAUUUUCAUCCAUAAUCAAAUAUCGUGAAUGUAAAUCAAAAUAGCCACUCAUAGUUGUCAUAAAAAUUUGGCCACAACAUUUCUCAAUAGUUAUGAUUAGUCAGAAAAAUACUAUAUUAUUAAUUUUUUAACUUAAAUAAAUUUUUUCAACGAAUCACGGACUUAUUAUGAUACAGCAGAUGUGGUCCCCAAAUAUCGUCAAUAUAAUGAAUGUUGACAAUGACCAAUUCUACUCAUAUUUGAUAUUUUUAUAAUCUUUUUGAGUUUUUCAAUUUAGAAUGAUGAAAUUAGUACAUGUAAAAAAUUUAAAAGGCUAACUAAAGUAUCUACUCAAUAAAAAAUUAAAAAAUCACCACAUCUUUGCACUCAUUUUUGAUAAUUUUUUAGAUAAUUUUAAAUUUUUCAAUUUUGUAUGAACAAAACUGAUAUAUACAAAAAAAAAAUUGAAAGAUAAAAAUGAGCAUUUAUUCUUUCCUAUCCCAACCAGUCACCAUAGCCACAUAUGGAGAUAUCUGUCCCAAACUGAAUUUCAAGCCAAUCAGAAUGCUCUAUUUUAUUAAUUUUUACUUUUAAUAUUUUAUUUUAUUCACGUGUUAAUAUAUGAUUGGUUUGAGAUACGAAACUUAGCCAUUAUCUCCUAAAAAUGCAUAAAACUCCUCUCGAGCUUCCAUUGAUAAUCAUUCAUUAUAUUCAAACCACAAAUAAAACAAACAAAUUAUUGGUCCAUCAAUCAUUUUGGUUGGUCAAAAAACAAUCACAAAUAACCACACAAAAAACAAAUCAACAUAAAAACAACAUACUACUUUCUAAAUCAUUUUGUGACUAACAGAAGUGAAAAUUCAAAGGAUUAACUUCGCGGUUAAGAUCAUAGAUUACGAAAUACGCCUUAUGAGUGCUUUGAACAAAUGAAAGUUCGUCAAAUAACUGGGCAAUUCUUCAAAAGUUUACACCUGAAUCAUGACUUAUUCAAAAGCAUUAAUAAUUAAAAAGUUAUGGACCGAACAAUUUCACUUUUAACAGGGAGAAAAACAAUGCCGAUCGGAAAAGUUAACUAAUAAGUAAAAUUAUUAUAAAGAAGUGACAACACUAAACUAAAAUGUUAAAAAGAAAAGUUUAAAAUAUCUUCAGUUCAUUUAAUUUGGCUAUUCUCUUUACCGCAUAGGAUCCAAUUUCACAAGUUCUAUACCAAACAAGUAAUUGAAAUCUGAACAAAGAACUAAUCUAAGAGCUUGUAAAUUUGGUGACAGCCUUAGUGCCUUCAGAGACAGCAUGUUUGGCCAAUUCACCAGGCAAUACGAGUCUAACAGCAGUUUGAAUCUCCCUUGAAGUUAUUGUAGGUUUCUUGUUGUAACGAGCCAAUCUAGAAGAUUCCUGAGCAAGCUUCUCGAAUAUAUCAUUUAUGAAACUAUUCAUUAUUCCCAUUGCCUUAGAGCUU